rnacentral:rRNA from 1 species
AUGUCGACCUGCAGUUCCAAGAGGGCGCGAGGCGCCAGCGAUGGUGUCGACAGGCUCAGCAGCCUUCCCAACGAGCUGCUCCACCGCGUGAUGUCCUUCCUGCCGAUGCCGGAGGUCGUGCGCACAAGUCUGCUCUCGCCGAGGUGGCGCUAUCUCUGGGUCUCUACUCCAUACAUCCGCAUUGACCACCAGGACUUCAUGGAUGACAGCAAGUUCAAGAAUUUUGGGAACCGCCUGCUGAUCUUACGUGACGGCGCUACUUCCUUGGAUGAAGCCCGGAUCUCUGCCCACAAUGUUGUUCGUGGUACAUCGUGGUGUGAGUGGAUUCGUCAUGCCAUCAUGCACAAAGUUCGUCUACUUCAUGUUUCUGCAUAUGCCCCAUUGGAUAGCACAGCCAUGUUUCCUUCACAGCACCUCAAAAUAGUCAGGCUCCAAUUUAAUUUGUUGGAACAUGGGUUCUUUAGGCAGCUGAACUGUGUCUGCUCAGUGCUUGAACAUUUAGAGCUGGAGGGUUGCGGUUUGUCUGAAGUAAACGAGAUCUCAUCGAGGUCACUCAAGGUUCUAUAUAUCAUUUGCUGCCUUAUCGUCAAGGGCCUCGUAAUUUGUGCUAGCAACCUUACCCAUCUCUCUAUCGUUGACCCAAGAUGUCGUUCUGGUGCUAUAGUAACUAGGGAUCUGCCUUCUCUAGUAACAGCUUUGGUUAGUCUGAGAUCUGACAAUUUUCAUUAUAAGGAAAACACAAUACUGGGUCAUGGUCUACUUGAUGGCCUCUCACAUGCCACAACCUUGCAGUUGCAUGCACCAUUACCUGAGCUCACACUCGAGAGAGGCCUGCGGACAUGCCCGGUGUUCAGCAGCCUGACAAGUCUGGUAUUGGGUGAUUGGUGCAUGGCUGCUGACUUCUACCCGCUGCGUCGCAUUCUACAUCGCUCGCCCAAGCCGAAGGAGCUAAGUUUUAAGCUCGAAAUGGAGGAAUGUAGAAAAUGA